rnacentral:rRNA from 1 species
CCUACGGGAGGCAGCAGUGAGGGAUAUUGCACAAUGGGGGGAACCCUGAUGCAGCGACGCCGCGUGGGUGAAGGAGUGCUUCGGCAUGUAAAGCCCUAUCGGCAGGGAAGAAGCAAGACGGUACCUGACCAAGAAGCCCCGGCUAACUACGUGCCAGCAGCCGCGGUAAUACGUAGGGGGCGAGCGUUAUCCGGAUUCACUGGGUGUAAAGGGAGCGUAGACGGCUAUGUAAGCCAGGGGUGAAAGCCCGGGGCCCAACCCCGGGACUGCCCUUGGAACUGGGCGGCUAGAGUGCAGGAGGGGCAUGCGGAAUUCCUGGUGUAGCGGUGAAAUGCGUAGAUAUCAGGAGGAACACCGGUGGCGAAGGCGGCUUGCUGGACUGCCACUGACGUUGAGGCUCGAAAGCGUGGGGAGCAAACAGGAUUAGAUACCCUUGUAGUC